CUUGUACUCCCUCCGUCCCAAAAUUCUUAUCUUAGAUUUGUCUAGAUAUGAAUGUAUCUAGUCACGUUUUAAUAUUUUGAUACAUUCCAUUUCUAGACAAUACAAGACAAGAAUUUUAGGACGGAGGAGUAUGUG
rfam:Hordeum vulgare subsp. vulgare, WGS project CAJW01000000 data, contig: morex_contig_2564165